ensembl:lncRNA
GCCUUCCGCACUAAAGGCUGCGAAAAUCCAGACCUCAGUCUGUUUGUUGACAUGUUAAAGAAAAUGCUUGACCUUGAUCCUGCAACGCGCAUUACCCCAGCUCAACUGUUGCAACAUGGUUUUCUGACAAACACUGAGGUGGGGACUACCUGUGAAGAGCCAGAGGUUACUGCCAGCAAGAAAAAUGGACAGUCUUUACAGUCGCAGUGGGAAAACACCCAGCACAACCAAGCAAGCCAGUUAAAAACAGGGCAGAAAAGAAAGCAUGACUAUAAAGAUGAUGACCCAACUUGUCAUGACUCCAAGCGGCCUAAAAUUCAGUCAAGGGUGACACCAAGGAAGGACACACAAAUGAAUGCUGUGAAUUCCACUGUUCAGAGGAAGCUGCCUGAUGGGAAGGAUGGUGGGCCUCAUUGCUCCACCUCGAUGGCUGUGCCCAAGUUCAGCCAACAAGCUUUGAAAAGAAGAAGGAAAUGCACAGGCAGGAAAGGAAAGAAAAAGUAACUGACUCCCUGAACACAUAUGUUGUGGGUACAGUCCCAUCUGGUCUUUCAAUCACAUAUUCACCGUGAAUUAUAAUAAAGGAAGCUGAUUUCGUUGUGUUAAACAUUAGUUUUGUUUUUUCA